UCGUAAAUCGAUGGUAGCUGUUGUUGGCAGCUUGAAUCAGGCGUCCGUUGCCGCUGUAACAUUAAUGUUUCUUAGGUACAAUGCGCUAAUAGAGGCGCCGCGAAGUUGUGUAGCUUAAAGCACAAAAAUAUUGUGCGUACUCUAGCAUCCUGACGGUACGUUCUAGUUUUUGCGGCAGGUCUCGGGGCAUUGAGCCUGUGUUGCCGAACGAACGCAAGAACGAGGCCGUGAUGACGAUCGACGCGGCUUAUGAAAUUAUCCGCAAUCACAAAAGACGAUCAGGCAAUAUCAACCUAAUAACAAUGAUAAAGGCAUCUAACUGCUAUGAUGCCUUUUUCCUAAUAAGACUGUGACCGCUUUAAUUAUAUUGGGGGAUUAUUACACCGGAUCUGUGGCACAAAAUUGUGUACGCAAACAGAGCAUUAUAUAGACGUCAGGCAUAAAGUAUUGGAGAACAGCGACAAGGCUAAAAAAAUAUUGCCGGCAUGAGGCAAAUGGCUGGAAGCGGCGAGAUGGAUUUUUAGCUAUAAUCUAAGGAGGCAAGUUCGAUACAACAAAAGCCGCAAGAGACGACAAAAAUUCAAGAGGAAAACUUGCUCAAAAAAAGUUAUACGUAACAUAAAUUUAGGACAAUAUAAGUAAAAAUCUAACAACGAUAUUAUUUUAUGUGCCCACGCACUGUGUUUACGGUAAUUUACAUUUAGGAAAGUGUAACUGUUUUUACAUUUUCGCUAUUGGACAUAUUUUUUAAUAGAAUCCGGUUUGUUUACAGUGUAGAAAUGUGCCACCAGUCAAUCCUGUAUCAGAGCUGUUGAUUCGAUAAAUUGCCCAAAGAUCGAAGAAUCAAUCGGUGCAUGAAACGGAUAUGUUGCAAAAUAUUGUUUCCACUAAUAGAAAGCCGUAACUUCAAUCGAUCGGCUUCUUAGUCUGACCUAGUGGCCUUUAGUUCUUCUUGGCACCGUCAAAAGCGGGAACUGGUCAUGCAUGGUAUCGAUAGAAAAAGAAGCGGGUGCACAUGCUAUAAGGCAGUUCGACUAUGAACCAAAUUGAUAUUUCACAUGCAUCUUCGAAUGUAAAUACUGAAAAUAGUUUCAUUAUCAUGUCUAGUAUUGACAGUAAGCUUAUGCACAGCUUCAGCAGCGCCUAUGUAUGGCUUGGGAAACGAGAUUGAUUUAUAGUAAUUUUUAGAGCAAAAUUUAUAGUAAAUGGGGAAGUUUAAGUGGUCCUAGGUUGGGUAGACAAAACUGCUAUAAUCUCUAUUUUAUUUUCCGAGCCAACUAUGUAGAUCAUAAUUGUAGAGGGCAGAACUGCGAGCGUGUUUGUAAUUAUUCCAUGAAAAGAGAAGGCAAUGUUUCAAAAUUAGCUAUCAUGAUAGGAUAUACACCAAAAUAAUAUAUGCAAACCCCAGGUAUUUGCACCCACUAGCGUGCACAUCAGACUACUUAACCUCUGCCUGAUUGAUUCCAGGGAUAGUCGGUGUUGCUGCUUUAGCUGUCGCCAACAGCGCAUGAGUACCGCACACUUCUUCCCUUCCGGAACUCGCUAGUGGGGAAAAUGCUUUGUGCACAUUCUAUAAUCCUUCUGCUGAAUUCACGCAUCAUGUAGCAUUUCUCCCCAGACCCCAGCAAUUUUGGAACCUGUUUACCCACCUUGCUAGUACUGAAGGUUACCGUUUACAACUGGAAACCAGUGCUUCACCACAUGCUUCACGUGUCGGCUGGCAGAUAUUGUUUAUUAGCUGUCAUUGCUUUCGUUAGCCAGUCAUAUCCGGAAGAGUCGAGGUUUAACGUAGCAGUUGACCAUAUAGAUGUGUUCGCUGAUUGGUACACAACUCUUUUCGAGCCUUCGUUAUGUGCAUAUAUCAAAGAUUCGACAGCGAGCUUACGUAUAUGUUAUUUCAUCACUUUUAUAGAAAGACAGAGUUUUAGAUUCGACUUUUUUUUCCACACAAUUUUAUUUAUUGCUGCUUUAAUUAUAUACUGUUUUAUUUCAUAUCAACGAGGGGUAACGUACAGUUCUGGCUUUACUUUCGUUUACUAAUAUACAACGCUAGGUAAUGUCAAGCAAUCUUCGAUUUGGCGGCGGCGGCGGCAGGUAAAGUGAUGCGUAAGUGGCGUGGCGUGGCGCGCGCCCGGUGCGUGAUGCGCAUUUUGCAAUGGAAUCACAAAUGUGGCUUUCCAGGCCUAUACGACAAUAACAAAAAGAACCAGCACUAUUGUCAUCAUUUUAUUAGGAUUAGGUUGCGAGGGAGCUGGAUUUUAAAAUCUUCGCUUUGGUCCCAAAUUAAUGAAAACACAGUGUAAUGCUGGUGGCAAAGGCUCUGAAUGGGUACUCUUGACGUGCGUUUUUCUGGCGGCAGUUUAUUGCGACAACUAUAACGGUCAGAGAAAUUUGGAAAAUGCUACAGAAAAGCGAGGGAAUUUUCCAGAGAAUCGAUUUUUUUGGCUAUUUAAGUGGCUAUUUGAAAAAAAUGCCUUCAGAUACUUCAGUUUUUAGCAUAGUUGCUUACUCUGUUAAUGUUAAGAACAUGUGUAGGAAUGAAAUUGAAUCUGCUUGUAUGAUUUGUGAUGUUUUUCCCUUCCAUAACUAUUCCUUCAGAGUUGUAUCCGAGGCAGCUUCAGAGCUCCAUCCAUGGUACUUUUGGAAAGCAACCUGAAAAUGAACGACAGGUGUUAAUCUGUUUAAUUCAUUUCACAUGGUUGGUAUAAAUACAUAAUAUGUGCAGGAAGUUGAUGAUCACGUUUAGUUGGCUAGGUGUCAAGGUUUGCAUGUUGGUUACAGUUGGUAAAUUGGCCGGAAUAGGAUCGGGAAUGGAUAAGUUACCAGAUACAACCCUUAUUGUGAUUUACGUUUUGUAAUUGCUAGUGCAUUGUGCGUCGCGUUAUAAUAUGACGGUCACUUCUCGUUUGUUUUCAGCUGCCAUCAGGCUUACCUAGGACCGAGAAAAAUGGAAAGUAUGUUUCGACUAAUUUGACUUUUUAUUCUAUUUGCUUCGGCUUGAAGAACACCAAACAUCUUUGGCCUAUAUUCGAUAAAUGUCGAAGUGUUGAUUAAUAGGUAUCCUAGGCGAAGGCCAGUUGUCACGUGCAAGCCUAGUACUAGUUUCAAGAGUGGCGGCUUUAUUUUGUGCGCAUAUGGUAGACCUCCGGCGUUUGAAUUUUCCCGGACAAUUGGGAUCCUGUAUGUAGCAGUCGGUAUAAUCUUCAGCCCAAUUAAUUUUACUGCUAUUUCGACAAGUACUUUUUGCAGCCGAUGGAUUGUGACAACUGCUAUCAACCAGCUGCUCCCGAACCUUUUCCUUUAUGUGAUCAGAGAAAGAUCUCCUCGUUGCCAUUAACAUGACCAAGCUCGGCAGUGCAGUUGAUGUCCUUUAAUAGACCUUCACCUAUGGAAAGCCCCCAGUUGUGCUCACAUUUUGAGCGUCUCACGCGCGAACAUUGCUAUCAGAAAAGGAUGUACCCGUCGUAGGAAGAUACUUGUAGCCAGACGUUUACUUCGCGAUUCCUCUUGAAGACUUCGGGUCCGUGCGGUCUGCUUUCCUUUUAGGAGAAACCACCAUGAGGACCUCUGCCGAAGCCAUUUCAACGGUAGUGUGUGUGUGGUAACGGCUAACUUGAGGACGAAGAGGGUGGCUUGUUUCCUGCCAACUGGCGCCGUACGAUGAAAUAACGCGGUGAACGCAUCACGAGCCAGUUUUCCGAAUUCAAGAAGCAUUGGACGCUGCCUUUUCAUCCACCAUGGAGACGUUAUACAUCCGAUCUGUUGCUAAUGAGCUCAUCGAAUUUUGUAUCUUCUAACCAGACACUCGAUGGUAAGCUGCAAGUUGUUCGGGCUUCUAAGUUGUUCCACUGCGUAGCCUGACCCGCUGUACCGCCGAGCAUGAAGCAUGCCUAACGGUGAAAACUACCUUCAGCAUUCAACGUUAGGGCUUUCAAAAGGAAAUGUUGGGCUUUUCUGUAUGUAUAUGUUGUAACAGGAUUCUCCGCAAUCUGAGCUCCUGUUGCCAUUGUUGCUACUGUCUGACAAACCUGUAAAUCCAACUCCGUACUAUGCGUCUGCAGUAGUAAAUUAUAGCCUUUCUUAUUGUUGAAAGAGCAGCCUUCGUGCUAGCUGUUUGUUGCUGACCGUACCUACAAAUCGUCGUCUA
rnacentral:lncRNA from 1 species